GGAAUGUGGCUCAAGUGGCAGCAUGCUUGCCUAGCAUGCAUGAGGCACUGGGUUCAAUUCUCAGCACCA
rnacentral:tRNA from 1 species